UCCCUGAUAUCAAUAUUUUAGUAUUUAAAGCUGCGUGUAUUGGUAGAAAUUAUCAGUUUACUUCAAGAUUUUGAAAGUUCUGUUAGAAAAUGGCUCGAAUUCCAACUACAUUGGUUGUCACUACCACUCACGACAAAAAUUUACCAUUAGAGGACCUAAUGGUUUUUGUAAAGCAUAUGUUUAGUCUGAUGUGUGAAUUCCAUUGCAUUCAGAACUAUUAACACGUUGUAAAACUAGAACUAGUGAACGAUGGGAGUUAGAAGUUGCGUAGUCGAGUUUACUAACAAACAGCGGAAUAAUGCCGCUGACAGACUCCUAGUUAGCGAGUAUAACAUAUACCACCCACGGGACGACGUUCCACAAGUCAGGAUUCGGAUAAAUCACUUUGAACCUUGCAGAGAUGCAGAGUAUCCACUCGAAAGGGGGCGACACUUACCGUUUCCACUAGUUGACCACGUCAGACGCGAAUUAUUUUAAUUUUACUGUAUACAAUUAUUUAAUAUAUUUUUCUAUUUGA